rnacentral:rRNA from 1 species
GACGUAGGGCGCGAGCGUUGUCCGGAUUUAUUGGGCGUAAAGAGCUCGUAGGCGGUUUGUCGCGUCUGCUGUGAAAACCCGAGGCUCAACCUCGGGUCUGCAGUCGAUACGGGCAAACUAGAGUAUUGCAGGGGAGACUGGAAUUCCUGGUGUAGCGGUGAAAUGCGCAGAUAUCAGGAGGAACACCGGUGGCGAAGGCGGGUCUCUGGGCAAUAACUGACGCUGAGGAGCGAAAGCGUGGGGAGCGAACAGG